rfam:Pelodiscus sinensis unplaced genomic scaffold scaffold3691, whole genome shotgun sequence.
GUUGGCUAUGGAGACAUGUGUCCUACCACCUUGGGUGGGAAGAUAGUUGGGACCCUUUGUGCUAUUGCAGGGGUGUUAACCAUUGCGCUGCCUGUUCCAGUCAUUGUCUCUAAC